rnacentral:misc_RNA from 1 species
UGGCUCUCGCAUCGAUGAAGAACGCAGCGAAAUGCGAUAAGUAGUGUGAAUUGCAGAAUUCAGUGAAUCAUCGAAUCUUUGAACGCACCUUGCGCUCCUUGGUAUUCCGAGGAGCAUGCCUGUUUGAGUGUCUUGAAGUCAUCAACCCCCUCCGUUUCGCGACGGAUCGGGCUGGACGUGGGGGCCUGCUGCCGUGAGGCGGCUCCCCUCAAAUGAAUCGGUUGGGCCUGCGGGUCGACCUCGACUGGGCGUUGUACCAUCCUCGCUCGACAGAGGCUCCUGCUUUGUGUGCCCUCCCCCGACCUGCCAGCUAGAGCGGCGGUCAACUUCUUUGAAAUCUGACCUCAAAUCAGGUAGGACUACCCGCUGA